CCCAAAGACAGGGCCUGCGUUGGCUGGCCACUGAGACUCCCCCAAAGACCCCACCAUCAGGAAGGAAGUCCUUCUUGCGGUCUAACCUGCAUCUCUCCUUGCACGGACGGUGACAACACAAGAGCAGCUGCCUCUAAGGUCACCAGGCGAGCAGGGCCCCCGCCGCGGUCCCCAGCCCUGCAGAGUCACCUACGCCCUGAGCACGCGGCGGGCCCCCUCCCGCCGGCUCUGCCCCCGCAGCGCGUGGGUCCGGGAUGGGCAGCGUGGAGUGCCGGCCUGAGUCCGGCGCCCGCACCUACCUGGAGAGCGCUCAGGACAAACCCGGCUGCGUCCAGCCGCCCGCGGCCGCCCGGGGCGGUCCUGAGUCGCAGCUCCCGGCCCUGCGCGUCCCGGGGCAGCCGCCGCGUCUCCGAGCCCGCCCCCGGGCGGCCCUGCGGGAGCAGGUGCCAGGAGCCGCGCCGCCCCGGUCUGCCCAGGAGAGCCGCGGCGGGACAGGGGCUCGGCGGUGGGGCUCCCCGGGUAGGAGGAAGAGAGGGGAGAUUCGGGGACUCCCCUGGCUGAAGAGCUGGACUCACGGGUGAGUAUCCCGCCUAACCCUGGCUAACCAGGCGCAGCGUACCUGAGGGCUCCCUAGGGGUCCUAGAGUUCAGGGAAAGGGACCCCAAACUGGCUGCCUUCCCCUGCCCCGCCGGCACUCACUUCCCCCCCGCCCCGCCCCCGCCAGCUGGGCCCUCUUUUGGGAGGAAACUCCAGCGGUAGGAGGAAGUUGAAGUUGACAUUCAUGGACCACCUGCUGGGUGCCGGGGGGGGGGGGGGAUCACAUUCAAACCUCAGAACCUCUCUCCCCAUUUCACAGACCAGGAAACGAAAGAAUGGGGACCUAGGCCAGGGCGGUGGCUCACGCUUGUAAUCCCAGCACUUUGGGAGGUCAAGGCAAGUAGAUCACUUGAGGUCAGGAGUUCGAGACCAGCGUGCAGAAAGAACAUGGUGAAACCCCAUCUCUACUAAAAAUACAAAAAUUAGCCAGGGGUGGUGGCACACUCCUGUAAUCCCAGCUACUCAGGAGGCUGAGGUGGGAGAACCGCUUGAACCCAGGAAGUGGAAUCGUGCCACUGCACUCCAGUCUGGGCAAGAAAAGUGAAACUCCGUCUCAAAAAAAACAAAACAAAACAAAAAAAAACUGCCAGGUGCAGUGACUCACGCCUGUAACCUCAGCAGUUUGGGAGGCCAAGGCAGGCAGAUCACAAGGUCAGGAGUUCAAGACCAGCCUGGUCAACAUGGUGAAACCCCGUCUCUACUAAAAAACUACAAAAAUUAGCUGGGCACAAUGGCAGGCGCCUGUAAUCUCAGCCACUUGGGAGGCUGAGGCAGGAGAAUCACUUGAACUUGGGUGACAGAGAUUGCAGUGAGCUGAGAUUGCACCACUGCACUCCAGCCUGAGCAACAGAGUGAGACUCCAUCUCAAGAAGAAAAAAAAAAAGACUGUGGACCUUAAGUGACUGAAUCCAAAGUCACACAGGAAGUGGGCACCAAAUGGGAGACUCCAAGCUGCUCCUAGGCACUGUCUCUGGAGGUCAGGGGAGACUGCCAGAAUCUGCCAGGGAGACCUCACCAGUGUGUGUGGCUGGGAGUCCUUUCCGAUUCGUCCCAGGGGAUCACAGCACAGGUCCGGCACACAGGGGGCACGGAGCCACCCAGGGAGGGCAAGAGGCAGAGGUUGGUGGCAUGACCUCCUCAGAUCCCUGCCACCAUUUUGUUAUUGAAGAAACAAUAUCAGGGUAAGAGAGCAAGAAAGAGCCAAGGAAAGUGGACAGAGAGGGCUCUUGCAGCCAAAGAAGUGGUGGUGCCGCUCCCCUGCCUUGCACUGGGGCAUGCCUCCUGGGGACCAGGUCAUGCGGAGAGAAGGCCCCACGUGGGGGGCCCCAGGGAUGCCACCAAAUCUCCCAGCCUGGUCCACCCAUCCACCAACUCACCCUUGCCUUGGGCCGUGCCCCUUCUAUCCCCUCAGCCUGGAACAUCCUCCUGACAUUCAGAGAUAUCUCCUUAUCACUCAGCCCCCAGCUUAAAUGUUACAUCUCCAGGCCCCACUUUCCCCAGCUCCAUUACGCUUUGUCUCAGACUCUGUUUACCACCCUCUUAGUGUAUCUUCCGGGUUGUAAUUCUUUUGUUUGGACCCUGACCUGUCUCCCUCAUGAGGGCAAGGCCUUUAUUUCCCAGUGGUCUGGAGCACCAGUGCAAAGCGUAUUGCAUACCUAAUAGGUACUCAAUAAAUAGUUGUUGAAUUAAUAACAAAACCAUUUCCACUUUUUAGGUAAAUCCACAAUUGUACAUUUUAAAUGGGUGAAUUGCAUAGUAUGCAAAUUACAUUUCAAUAAAGCAUGUUUUUUAAAAGUAAACCCAGGGUGGGAGGACUGUCCUGGUGCACCAUGUGUACCUCAGUGUAGCACUGCACACGAAUCCUCUAACUUAAUCUGCUCACACUGCUGUCCAUCACAGCCCACGUCCGGCCGCUGUCCAUGGAAAACCGCAGUUGCUUGGGCUUGGAGGAAUCUUAGACGUCAUCCUGUCCCUUCUGUAGCAGCUUUGACAAAGUACUCUCUGGCGUCUGCUUGAACAUGCCAGAGAUGGGGAGAUCACUACCUAACAAGAUGGCCCAUUCCAUGAUGCUAAUACUCAUUAAAAUGGGGCUUUGGAA